rnacentral:lncRNA from 1 species
UGUUUGUACAUCUUACUUAUGAACUCGGCCCAGUAGUUUCAGUGGAAAAUGUUAGUAAAAAUUUACAAAUUUUAUAAAAAUUGUUGAAAAUUGACUAUAAAGGACAAUAACUCCUUAGGGGUCAAUUGACCAUUUCGGUCAUGUUGACUUAUUUGUAAAUCUUACUUUGCUGAACAUUAUUGCUGUUUACAGUUUAUCUUUAUCUAUAAUAAUAUUCAAGGCAAUAACCAAAAACAGCAAAAUUUCCUUAAAAUUACCAAUGCAGGGG